UACGUAGGGAGCAAGCGUUGUUCGGAUUUACUGGGCGUAAAGCGCACGUAGGCGGAUCGAUCAGUCAGGGGUGAAAUCCCAGAGCUCAACUCUGGAACUGCCUUUGAUACUGUCGAUCUGGAGUAUGGAAGAGGUGAGUGGAAUUCCGAGUGUAGAGGUGAAAUUCGUAGAUAUUCGGAGGAACACCAGUGGCGAAGGCGGCUCACUGGUCCAUUACUGACGCUGAGGUGCGAAAGCGUGGGGAGCAAACAGG
rnacentral:rRNA from 1 species